AGAAAAACUAAUGUUCAAAAAGAAAUUUGUAUAAAAUAUUUUUUUAAUUUUUUAUAAAUUUAUUCAAACUGUUGUGCAAAAAUAGUAAAUGCAUGUUAAUUUAACGCCCUAUAACAAUUUAAGUUUUGCUGCUGUAAAAUGUACAAAACAGCUGUUCUUACAGGGCUGAUGGAGGCUCUCUCACGUUUCAUAUCACUAGGGUGCUAUGCGUUUAAUUUUGCGCAGCUCUAUUAGAACCUUGCUCUCCACAUAUAACAUCAUACCACCAUAACACCUAGUCGGUAAUUUCUAUACACAGUUAUAUACCGACAAAUCAUAUUUGCAUACAUAUGUAUAUGAGUGUGUAUACAUAUAUAGAGGUAUGUAUGUGCACUGCUAUGUGGCUAUUUAGCACGAUAAGAAACGUUAGUUGCCAAUGAAUGUCAACAAAGGUCAACUAAAAUCGGUCUUUUCGAUUCACUAGCAACAUUUGAGAUGAGUAAAAGAAAGUUUAAAGUUAGAGGUUAUCAGGAAACGAAUAAAUGGAGUGUCUGCGUUAAGUAUUUGCGGCGGAAGCACGUGGUUUCAGUGCAACAACAAGUCAUUUUGCCGGUCACCUUCGCUCCUGCAAAGCAGCGCUCAGUUAUGUAGGAACUUAAAACGUCGCUUAACAAUGCAACAAUCGAAAAUGUAUACUCACUAUACUCCCAAAAGCAUACAUACAAACAUGUAUAUAUAAAUUUUUGCACACGUAUGUAAUAAACAGUGCAAGGAUAUUUUAGUACAAAAUAAACACAUACCCCGAUUUAGAUGCCUGUGUUGACGUAAUAGAGUGGAUGCGCAAACGAUGAGCGAUGUCUUUCAGCUCCUGAAUAGUUUUAGCUUCAGGCUUGUGGUACGACAUAUUUGCGCUAAGAUUUUUGCUUUGGAUUAAUAAAAAUGUGUAGAAAACUUUUUGAGAGUUGCUCAAAA